AUUAGUCCCACAAUAAAUAAUAUUAAUAGUAAUCCUACUAUUAAUGUAUGAAAUAAUGUCAUCUAAUACAUAGUAUGUCAGUGAUAUCAGAAAAGAAUAGCUGUGUUCAAGGCCCACAUUUUCUGCGGCACAUAGACACCAAUCAUAAACUCAUGGUGAUAUUUGGUGGCAUCAAUGGCUACUCGAGGAAGGUAAGUUUCCUACUGUAACAAAGUACAUACUCAUGAAAAUAUUUCUGGUAUAAUCCAAAAAAAAAAAUCUUAGUUAUGUUAUGACAACCAUCCCAUAACUAUUAUUACUCAUGUCCGUUUUCCACCCUUUAGAUAAUGUACCUCAAUGCUGGGUCCAACAACACCGCGAGUACUGCGCUUCAGUUUUUUUCUGGAUGGAGUGAGGAGAUUUGGAAGGUAAGAAGUGACUAGGGUGUUGAAAAUGUCAGCAUUGUCCAGAUGAUGUUCACUGUGAGAGGCACAGGACAUGGAAGCUUUAUAAGUGGAAAAAUCAUGCACAACCAGAGGUGAAUUAUUCCUUUUGCAAUGAUUAUCAAAAUUACCUCAAGAUCCAAGUAGGUACAUGACAUAUCUUGUUAUUGUUGGUGUGCCCUUCAGUGUGAUAUUUACUCAAGUUGAAUUACUGUUUGGCUAAUUCUUUUACAUAGUUUGAUUGUUUGAAGAAGACUUUUCUAUGUACGAAUUGUAGAAUCGAACAUCUGUGGAGGGACGUUUGGACAGGAGUUACUCACGUUUACUAUGACGUAUUACACAGCCUGGAGGAAGAUGGAUCCCUCGACAUCUCGGAUAAUCUCCAUCUCUUCUGUGCUCAGUACACCUUCCUCCCAAGACUCAAGGCUGAUUUGGCCCAAGUUUUCUGCUGGAUGGAACGAUCAUCCUGUCAGGACAAAGGGCUUCCUUACCCCAAACCAGCUGUGGGAGCUUGGGAUGCUGCAGCACCCCAUCCGCGAGCCAGAGACGUUUGAGGAAAAUGUGGCAGGAAUCCAAAUUGAGGAUAUUGAUUGGGAGAGCUCAGGGCUCUCUCAUAACUCUGCCAACACAGGUGUUACCGUGCCAGAAAUGGAAUGUCCAUUGAAGACCGAGAACAUUGAAACUCUACGCCUUGCCAUUGAUCCCCUUUCUCAUUCAAUUAGUUUUGGAAGAGACAUUUAUUUGACCAUACUUCACCAUCAUUGACAGUCAUGUCUGUGCCAAUCCGAGGACUAAAGGCUUUUAAUAAUUCAUGAUGAUUCAUGAUUGCUCGAGUCCAGUCUAGGGCCACAUGUUUCCAGGCACCGUAUAGUCCACCUUCCAUUCACAGCAAAGUAAUUGAAACCAAGAAAAUUCCACAAAAUGUAGUAUUUUGCUUCCAAAGAUUUUGUAUUUUUUAAAUCUGAUUUCUGUCAAGCUGACAACCACAGGGAAGCGGAAAAGAACGCAGUGAAGGACAUCUCUGACAAACAUUGUAAUGGUGCGAUGCACAUAUGGAAAUGCUGUUUGAAGUGUAACAUUCAAUGUGGCUAACAAUGAUUUCAAUAUCAAAUCAAUUAGCCAUGCACACUGGGUCAUUUAAUACACCCAUGAACAGUGAAUUGGGUUAACAGAUACGAACUGGAUUUAACAAAAAAUUAAAUAAAAGACUGCACAAAUAUCUUACCUAUUACUAUUUGACUCUGAAUGUAUAUGCAUAUUUGAAACUGCAACAUUUCACUUAAACCUGAUGAAAUGCCUGCCCUAGAUGGAAGGCCUCUGUCAUCACUUGUUUGAACUCAGUAGAAGUUUGCAUAUGCUUAACAAGCAGGCAGAUUGUAUUAUUACAUGCAGCGACUGUUGAGUAGCAAACUGUAUGUGAACCAUACUGGAUGUCACAGGUGUGAUUGAACUGCACAAAGACUCAGAAGUUUCUCUUCUCUUCUGGUAAGACAGGAAUGUGGCCCUGUCCUGUGAGCCACUGGAGAAACGUACUGGGGGACAGGUGACCUGGAUUGUCUACUGUGUCACCCACUUCUGGAUGUUCACCUUUUCAGAGACAGAAAGCAAACAAUGUAAAUUAAAUAUUGGUUUACCUGUACCAGCACAGAGGUAGAAUCUAAUAUCUUACGUAAGUGUACUUACAAUGCUAGAUAAUGCUC